rnacentral:misc_RNA from 1 species
UUUAAGCACAUCCGCUCAUCUCCCUCUUACCCCAAAGCUCCUUCCUUUCUCUCUUUCUCACUCUCUUUUCCUUUUAAAAGCAUACUUUCUAGUGUAAUGGAAGCAAUAAGCAAGUGUUGUACUUCUUCAGAAUCUUCUUCUUCCGAGUUGUCUUUUAAUGGCAAUACUACGCCAAGAAACGCAAACAAACCGGAGCGGAUCAAAGGUGCAUGGUGUGCAGAGGAGGACCGGAUUCUCACCCGCCUCGUUGAGCGACACGGGCCCAGAAAUUGGUC